rnacentral:rRNA from 1 species
AUACGUAGGGUGCAAGCGUUAAUCGGAAUUACUGGGCGUAAAGCGUGCGCAGGCGGUUUUGUAAGACAGUGGUGAAAUCCCCGGGCUCAACCUGGGAACUGCCAUUGUGACUGCAAGGCUGGAGUGCGGCAGCGGGGGAUGGAAUUCCGCGUGUAGCAGUGGAAUGCGUAGGUAUGCGGAGGAACACCGAUGGCGAAGGCAAUCCCCUGGGCCUGCACUGACGCUCAUGCACGAAAGCGUGGGGAGCAAACAGGAUUAGAUACCCUGGUAGUCCACGCCCUAAACGAUGUCAACUGGUUGUUGGGGAUUUAUUUUCUCAGUAACGAAGCUAACGCGUGAAGUUGACCGCCUGGGGAGUACGGCCGCAAGGUUAAAACUCAAAGGAAUUGACGGGG